CUACGGGAGGCAGCAGUGGGGAAUAUUGCACAAUGGGGGAAACCCUGAUGCAGCGACGCCGCGUGAGUGAAGAAGUAUUUCGGUAUGUAAAGCUCUAUCAGCAAGGAAGAUAAUGACGGUACUUGACUAAGAAGCCCCGGCUAACUACGUGCCAGCAGCCGCGGUAAUA
rnacentral:rRNA from 1 species